rnacentral:lncRNA from 1 species
UACAAAGGACAUGAACUCAUCAUUUUUUAUGGCUGCAUAGGAUUCCAUGGUGUAUAUGUGCCACAUUUUCUUAAUCCAGUCUAUCACUGUUGGACAUUUGGGUUGGUUCCAAGUCUUUGCUAUUGUGAAUAGUGCCGCAGUAAACAUACGUGUGCAUGUGUCUGUAUAGCAGCAUAAUUUAUAGUCAUUUGGGUAUAUACCCAGUAAUGGGAUGGCUGGGUCAAAUGGUAUUUCUAGUUCUAGAUCCCUGAGGAAUGGCCACACUGACUUCCACAAUGGUUGAACUAGUUUACAGUCCCACCAACAGUGUAAAAGUGUUCCUAUUUCUCCACAUCCUCUCCAGCACCUGUUGUUUCCUGACUUUUUAAUGAUUGCCAUUCUCAAAGAACAGUGUGUUUUUAAGUCUCUGCAGCCUUGGGCCAAGCUCGUUCUAUUCCCCACUCUACAAGAAUCACAAGAGCGCUAGGAUUCUGUUUGGGGUUGCCGUGGACACAGAGUUCUUAUUACAGAACUGACUUAUUCUCAAUAUGAGGUAAAGACCUACAGGUGAGGUCUCUGAGCAAGGGAGUCCCAUCCCAUCCUCUGCCCUCUCUGUUGGCUGUUGUCCUCUCAUCUUCAUCAGGAGAAUUAAAAUCAUAGAAUGUUGUACCGACGACACAAGACCUCAGACUUGUGUUAUUCUAGCAGCUGAACACACCCCAGGCUCUUCUGACUGGCAGUGGCUCUGGAAGCAGUCUGGUCUAUAGAGUUAUGGAUUCACUACCAGAUUCUACUGUAUGCUCUGACAACUAUGACCACAAUGGGUAUGGUUUCUGUGGAUUCUCUGCUCUUUGUGCUCUCCUCCCCACAUUGGUGGCUCCAUCUGGCACAGGGAAGCUUCUGGAUUCCAGAAGGGAACAACACUACAGUCGCCCGUAGUUUUGUUUCUGUUCAGUCUCCAUCGUGGCAUGCCACACUCUCCUGGUUUGGGCCCUGCUCAUUUCUUUACUGCCUUCCUGCCUGCCCUUUUUGUGCAGGUAGGUCAUCCCAUUCAUGCUCAGCCCUCCUCGCUGUCUACACUGUCUUCUUGGGCAAUCGUAUCCAGUCCCAAGCCUUUUAA